rnacentral:rRNA from 1 species
AUUGAACGCUGGCGGCAGGCUUAACACAUGCAAGUCGAGCGGAGAUGAGGUGCUUGCACCUUAUCUUAGCGGCGGACGGGUGAGUAAUGCUUAGGAAUCUGCCUAUUAGUGGGGGACAACAUUCCGAAAGGAAUGCUAAUACCGCAUACGUCCUACGGGAGAAAGCAGGGGAUCUUCGGACCUUGCGCUAAUAGAUGAGCCUAAGUCGGAUUAGCUAGUUGGUGGGGUAAAGGCCUACCAAGGCGACGAUCUGUAGCGGGUCUGAGAGGAUGAUCCGCCACACUGGGACUGGGACACGGCCCAGACUCCUACGGGAAGCAGCAGUGGGGAAUAUUGGACAAUGGGGGGAACCCUGAUCCAGCCAUGCCGCGUGUGUGAAGAAGGCCUUAUGGUUGUAAAGCACUUUAAGCGAGGAGGAGGCUACUGAGACUAAUACUCUUGGAUAGUGGACGUUACUCGCAGAAUAAGCACCGGCUAACUCUGUGCCAGCCGCCGCAGUAACAC